rnacentral:rRNA from 1 species
GAUGAACGCUGGCGGCGUGCUUAACACAUGCAAGUCGAACGGUGAAGGCGGAGCUUGCUCUGCUGGAUCAGUGGCGAACGGGUGAGUAACACGUGAGCAAUCUGCCCCUGACUCUGGGAUAAGCGCUGGAAACGGCGUCUAAUACUGGAUACGAGCUGCGAAGGCAUCUUCAGCAGCUGGAAAGAAUUUCGGUCAGGGAUGAGCUCGCGGCCUAUCAGCUUGUUGGUGAGGUAAUGGCUCACCAAGGCGUCGACGGGUAGUCGGCCUGAGAGGGUGACCGGCCACACUGGGACUGAGACACGGCCCAGACUCCUACGGGAGGCAGCAGUGGGGAAUAUUGCACAAUGGGCGAAAGCCUGAUGCAGCAGCGCCGCGUGAGGGACGACGGCCUUCGGGUUGUAAACCUCUUUUAGCAGGGAAGAAGCGAAAGUGACGGUACCUGCAGAAAAAGCGCCGGCUAACUACGUG